GAUAAGGUGGCUGAAGUUAGGUUAUAAAUUGUAAAUUUAUAUAUGAGGAAAUCUCUCUUAUCA
rnacentral:tRNA from 1 species